CAAAGCUGUCAUAUGUUGCUACAAAUUACCUGGUCUAACAUGACAGAAAUUUAUUGUUUCAGAGUCCUGAAGGCUGGAAGCCAGAAGUGGAAGUUUUGACAGAGCCACAUUCCCUCUUCAGCCUCUGGCAGGGACACUCCUCAUUUCCUCCAGUGUUUGGUUGUUCUGGGGCUGCACCAUCCUGAUGAAGAGUUCUCAGGAGGUGGUAUGUUCAAGCUGCCCCAAACAGGAAGGGCCACCUGGAAGCUGAAAAGCAAUCCGUGUCCACCCGGACACUAAGUCCUCAGAGCCUUGAUGACAUCCAUCCUGUGUGGGGAAAAAAGAAUCCAGACUCUGCUUCCUCCCCAGCUCCUCCUAACACACUCUCUCACCACCUCCCAAUCAAGGGUUAUCCUCUAAGACCCGCUUUCUAAGCUUCAGGACCUAAUUAGCGGUUUGAAAAACUGGUAUCAAAAGUACCCAGGAUCAUUUUUAUGGCCCUUUGUGAAUAAGAAAACAAUGCCGACAAGUCAAUAUUAUGCGCAAACGGCAGUAAAGUCCCCCUAAAUG